UUCCUUUACUUGAGUUGUAGAUGCUGUCGCUAGUAUGACCCUUACUGUCUUAUUAAGUAUUCUUAAUCUAGAAUUAUAUAUUAUAUUUACAAACACUAUUAUAUGCUAUUGAUUACGCUAGGAGUACUUUUCGAUGGAAUGUAUGAUUUGAGAUCGGUCGUCCGUCGAUCUGUUGCGAUAGGUUGCUGUGCGAACAACCUAAGUAUCUGCGACAGAUGACGGCGCUGGUUAUACUAGGAACGGGACUACAUCGUCCCAACUAUCGCAAUCUAACACCUAUCUUCCUGCACGAUGAGAUUCGACCGCGGAUGUUUGCUAGCUCCUAAAGGGUUACCCUAAUCACCUGGAAUUGGUUGAAGAAUGCACGUCAUCGGAUAGACCGAUCUGGACGGCAAAGCGGUGAGGGAACCGUGGCAGGGAGAUGGAAGGGGGAGCGUUUCGUCCAGACCCCGCUAGAGGACUCCUCAGUAAGGCUAUCUAGCGUGGCCCUGCCUUAGACGCGGGGUUGAGGGAUGGUAGAAUUCGCGGUGUAUAUAUACAAACAAAAGACGUUUGAGUUCUUGCGAGAAACAAAUCCCUCUAGCGUCAAGUGACGGCGAUAUCAAUUGCAGGGAUUGUGUAUUCAACUGUGAAUAUUUCAAAAAGUCAAUUCUUUUUUUUAAAUUUUGACUAAUUCUCUUAUUUUACGCGAGAGAACGUUUACGUACUUUUGACAGAAAUACACCUACCAUUCCUUACGCUGGAAUUAGUAGGAUGCGUCGGAUUCAGAAUCCUGAAACAGCCUCUUAAAGUAGAGGUUCCGAGCUUUAAUUUGAUGAAAAAAUUAUCACCCUAUGAUGAUGCUUCGUGGAGUUAUCGUCGUUCAAAUUUGGCCAAUUCUUCAGAGAUUUUACUAUUCGCGAAUUAUGGGCCUUGUUGCAAUAGUAGUAGGAUGCGUCGAAUUCGUAAUCCACAAACAGCCUCUUAAAGUAGAGGUUCCGAGCUUUAAUUUGAUCAAAAAGUUAUCAUCCUAUGAUGAUGCUUCGUGGAGUUAUCGUCGGUCAAAGUUGACCAAUUCUUAUCCAAGAUUUUACCAUGCGCGAACUACGGAUUUUGUUGCAAUAUUGGUAGCAUGCGUCGGAUUCAUAAUCCUGAAACAGUCUCUUAAAGUAGAGGUUCCGAGUUUGAAUUUGAUGAAAAAAUUAUCGCCCUACGAUGAUUAUUCGUAGAGUUAUCGUGUCAGUCAGAGUUGGCCAAUUCUUAUGCGCAAUUUCUGUAUGCACGAACUGUGGAUCUUGAUGUAAAAUAUGAUCUUUCUACCUGAAUUGCAACAACAAACUAAAGUAAUGUAGUUGUUGAUGAUUCUAGUGGGAUUGCAUGCUAGCAUAAUGAACCGUAUGGUUAAAUCGCUAGUUUGGUAGACUAAAGUUAUUUUAAUAAACAAGGAUGGAAAAAGAGGGAGGAUGUGAACAAUAAAAUGUUGAAAUGUGAUCAUAUAUCGUUAAGCUCACGAAAGAGACGAUCGUGCGAUCGAUAUUUGUCUAUAAAGCUGUAGCGAUGAUUGCAAGCGCAAUAGAAAAGAUCGUAAUUAAACUGCAAGUGCAGGAAGAUUACUUUACCAUUUCUCCAGUGAAACGAUAUUCUUAAAAUCAUUCCACUGUUACCUGUCGCAUUUGCCCAUUUCUCUUGCAAAAGAAUAAAAUCUACAGCUUAA